rnacentral:rRNA from 1 species
CCUACGGGAGGCAGCAGUCGAGAAUCAUUCACAAUGGGGGAAACCCUGAUGGUGCGACGCCGCGUGGGGGAAUGAAGGUCUUCGGAUUGUAAACCCCUGUCAUGUGGGAGCAAAUUAAAAAGAUAGUACCACAAGAGGAAGAGACGGCUAACUCUGUGCCAGCAGCCGCGGGAAUACAGAGGUCUCAAGCGUUGUUCGGAAUCACUGGGCGUAAAGCGUGCGUAGGCUGUUUCGUAAGUCGUGUGUGAAAGGCGCGGGCUAAACCCGCGGACGGCCCAUGAUACUGCGAGACUAGAGUAAUGGAGGGGGAACCGGAAUUCUCGGUGUAGCAGUGAAAUGCGUAGAUAUCGAGAGGAACACUCGUGGCGAAGGCGGGUUCCUGGACAUUAACUGACGCUGAGGCACGAAGGCCAGGGGAGCGAAAGGGAUUAGAUACCCGUGUAGUC